AUACGUAGGGGGCGAGCGUUGUCCGGAAUGAUUGGGCGUAAAGGGCGCGUAGGCGGCGCGGUAAGUCUGGAGUGAAAGUCCUGCUUUCAAGGUGGGAAUUGCUUUGGAUACUGCCGCGCUUGAGUGCAGGAGAGGUUAUCGGAAUUCCCGGUGUAGCGGUGAAAUGCGUAGAGAUCGGGAGGAACACCAGUGGCGAAGGCGGGUAACUGGACAGCAACGGACGCUGAGGCGCGAAAGUGUGGGGAGAAAACAGGAUUAGAUACCCUGGUAGUCCACGCUGUAAACGAUGAAUACUAGGUGUGGGGGGACUGACCCCCUCCGUGCCGCAGUUAACACAAUAAGUAUUCCACCUGGGGAGUACGAUCGCAAGAUUGAAACUCAAAUGAAUUGACGGG
rnacentral:rRNA from 1 species